UGGGGAAUAUUGCACAGUGGGGGAAACCCUGAUGCAGCGACGCCGCGUGAACGAAGAAGGUAUUCGUAUCGUAAAGUUCUGUCCUAUGGGAAGAUAAUGACAGUACCAUAGAAGAAAGCUCCGGCUAAAUACGUGCCAGCAGCCGCGGUAAUACGUAUGGAGCGAGCGUUGUCCGGAAUUAUUGGGCGUAAAGGGUACGCAGGCGGUUUAAUAAGUCGAAUGUUAAAGAUCGGGGCUCAACCCCGCAAAGCAUUGGAAACUGAUAAACUUGAGUAGUGGAGAGGAAAGUGGAAUUCCUAGUGUAGUGGUGAAAUACGUAGAUAUUAGGAGGAAUACCAGUAGCGAAGGCGACUUUCUGGACACAAACUGACGCUGAGGUACGAAAGCGUGGGGAGCAAACAGG
rnacentral:rRNA from 1 species